rnacentral:rRNA from 1 species
UACGUAGGGGGCAAGCGUUAUCCGGAUUUACUGGGCGUAAAGGGAGCGUAGACGGCGAUGCAAGCCAGAUGUGAAAGCCCGGGGCUCAACCCCGGGACUGCAUUUGGAACUGUAUAGCUAGAGUGUCGGAGAGGCAGGCGGAAUUCCUAGUGUAGCGGUGAAAUGCGUAGAUAUUAGGAGGAACACCAGUGGCGAAGGCGGCCUGCUGGACGAUGACUGACGUUGAGGCUCGAAAGCGUGGUGAGCAAACAGG